rnacentral:rRNA from 1 species
AUUGAACGCUGGCGGCAGGCCUAACACAUGCAAGUCGAGCGGAUGAAGGGUGCUUGCUCCUGGAUUCAGCGGCGGACGGGUGAGUAAUGCCUAGGAAUCUGCCUGGUAGUGGGGGCUAACGUCCGGACACGGGCGCUAAUACCGCAUACGUCCUGAGGGAGAAAGUGGGGGAUCUUCGGACCUCACGCUAUCAGAUGAGCCUAGGUCGGAUUAGCUAGUUGGUGGGGUAAAGGCCUACCAAGGCGACGAUCCGUAACUGGUCUGAGAGGAUGAUCAGUCACACUGGAACUGAGACACGGUCCAGACUCCUACGGGAGGCAGCAGUGGGGAAUAUUGGACAAUGGGCGAAAGCCUGAUCCAGCCAUGCCGCGUGUGUGAAGAAGGUCUUCGGAUUGUAAAGCACUUUAAGUUGGGAGGAAGGGCAGUAAGUUAAUACCUUGCUGUUUUGACGUUACCAACAGAAUAAGCACCGGCUAACUUCGUG